rnacentral:rRNA from 1 species
UACGUAGGCAGCGAGCGUUGUUCGGAAUUACUGGGCGUAAAGCGUGCGUAGGCGGUGCCAUAAGUUCGGUGUGAAAUCUCCCGGCUCAACUGGGAGGGUGCGCCGGAAACUGUGGUGCUUGAGUACAGGAGAGGUAAGCGGAAUUCCUGGUGUAGCGGUGAAAUGCGUAGAUAUCAGGAGGAACACCUGCGGUGUAGACGGCUUACUGGACUGUUACUGACGCUGAUGCACGAAAGUGUGGGGAGCAAACAGG